CUGCCACAUUCAUAUGUAAGGUUACAUACUAAGGUAGAAUUUAAUAUUUUUAUCUGAGGAAAGUUUUCAUCAAAUUUUCUGAUAUAAUUUUACUUUAAAUUUGAUCAUGGAUCAUAAACAUUUUAAGUUUUAAUUAUAAAGCAUUUUUUACGCAGCAGAUGUAACAAUGUUUUUAAUGUUGGCAACUAUGUUUGGCAACAGGCCAUAUGGACAAAUAACGUGAAUGUGAGCCAAUUAUGACACAAUAAUGUUUGAUUAUCGUAUCAAACAAUGCAAUGUCAAUAAACUACAAUUUAUGCAUUGCAUAACUGUUAUACAGCAUCACUUAAUUAUUCUACGCUCUAUUAUCACAUAUUGUUAUAAAUAACCUAUAUUCAAGGAACUCUGGAAAUUUGAAAGCUUUGCUUUUUUUCCCCUCUUUUUCUGCGGGAUUUUAUAACUGAAAGUUCCUAUGAGAUCACAGGAUAUCACUAAUAUAUAUAUAUAUAUAUAUAAAUGGUGAUCACAAUAAAAAUUCGACCCCAUUUUAUUCGGAUAAGGUACAAAAAAUAUCGUCAGCAUACACGGUAUGCAGAAUACGGUUUUACGAUAGAAUAUAAAACUCAUUGAUGAUCUAUUAUUAAAUAAUUAAAGAAUAGCCUACUUUACGAGAUUAUCGUCCGGGAUAAUCGAGUCUGACUUAUUAAUAGAACUUCAGAUCGAUUGCCUCUGCGCUUAGUACAUCAGAAGUUCUGAAGUAUUAUGUUAAAAAAACUAUAAAGAACCAUACUUUUCGUCUUUUUUCUUCUUCGCGUAUUCACCUGUCGAUGUUUUUCUCGUUUCUUUUUUUUUUCUUUUAAAACAAACUUGUAUAUCGUAUAAUAUAUAUAAUCAUUUAAUCAAUAACAAAUAUUUUCAGGACAUAAAGAUAUAAAAUUGGAAAAAUAAUAAUAAUCAAAAAAUUAUCGAUCAUUAAAAACGUGCGAUAUGCAUAUCGACAGGCAAAUGAACAUAUUUAAAGAGGAAAUGAAAGCAAAUAAUCAAAUAGAUAAGAAAAUAGCAAUAAACUUCCAAUAAUGAAGCGAAAAUAAUUGUUACUUUGAGCGAAGGCACUUUACUCGCAUAACGUUUCGCAAUUUUUCGUUAUACACUCCUGUAAAUAAUCGCACGAUCGAUCUACGUUCUGCUAUAUACAUCGCUCAAUUAUCACUCCCAUACAUUUGUAACAUCACUUUUGUUUCUCUUGUAUCGCGAUAAAAUCGCUCGAAUGAAACUUGACCGAUGCAGUUACAUGGCGGAACGUAAUAACGAACGCUACAACUUCCAGGUUAUCGUUAUCAGGAUUUAACGGAUUUUUUUUUUUAAUCUCUGUUUAUAUCUCUAUCGUUUAUUCAACUUUUGUUGUAUACACAACACAUAAUUGAUUCGUUUUAGAAAAGAAAAUCCAGAAAGUUAGAAAAUUACAUGCUAUAAAAUGUUAAUGUUGUCGAUAUUAAAAAAAAAAAAAAAAAGAAAAAAGAAAAAAGAAAAAAUUCACAAUAUAAAAGGAUUAUUGGAAAUAAUUAUUGCUAAACUGUUAGAUACGAGAAAGGAAGUCCGAGGUGUAUAAAUUGUCUGAUGACUGUCGUACAAGUUUCACUUAAGAGUUAUUUUAUCGGGAAACAAAUUGCAAUUGCCUUUAAAACAAGCGAUUCUCGAGAAUAUAUAUUUACACGUUCGUUUCGCAAAAAUAUUUCGCAACAUUUUGGAUUACAUUGCUACAUGAAUUGUAUGUAUUUCUAUCUGAUUUUUUUUUUUCUUUUUCGUUGAAAUCAUACUCAUAAAUAUACACGCACACAUACAUACUCGUCGUAAGGGAAAUGACACGAAAGUCCCUGAUGCUAGACAAGUGUGGAACACUUAAAUCACGCACACAUAAUGCAUUGUACGGCUUGCCAGCUAAAAUCGAUACGAUCACACACGCAGCCUCGCGGAUAAAGAAUUCAAUGGAUAAAUUCCAACUUCGUAGACUUUUUUCAAAAGCAAUGUAAGUAACGUAGCGGAACAAAUCACUCGAGCUGCCAAAAUUAACUUUCCAAUUUUUUCACGAAUGUAUUUACACAUUUACAUUACAUAUCGUUUCAUUCGUAAUACUAUCUAUAUAUAUUACAUAUCUCUCGAUUCUUUACUUCGUAUCGUCCUAUUGGAUCACCCUUUGCGAUCAAAUCCGUACAAACGAUCUGAUAAAAACAAAUGAUCGCUUUAGCAAUAGAAUAAAAAAAAUAAUAAUAAUAAAAAAUAAUUUACGUCAAUUGUUGAAUCCUCGAUCGAAAAUUGAUCGAUUGUCCAGCUGGAAAUCGCAAAAGGAAAUCGGAAAAUUUCGUGGCCAAAAACGCAAUUACACGCAAUUCACUUCACGCGUUACUUCAAGCAGAGAGAUACAUUUGCACGCAAUUAGAUUUUAUUCAAUUCUCAUCCGAUGAUUCGGUUACAAUAGUUUGAAAAAGAUUCGAAAAGAGGAAGAAGCGUAGUACACAGUGCUAAAAUAGCGAAGAACCAUUUAAAAUGGAGAGAUCCUUUCUUCUGCCUUUGUUCUAUGCGCGGAGAGAAAGGUAAUGAUAACGCUAAAAACUGUACAAUAUGUAUUUCAUACAUUCCGUUCGGGCAUUCCGUAACGGCUCGUGUUACAAGUAUUAUAUGUAUAUAUAUAUAUAUAUAUAUAUAUAUUCGUAUUUAUCACGCUUUGUUAUGUACAAAUUAAUAUAUAACGCCGCCACAUUCUUUCGAAUUCACCGGGACUCUUUAUGCCCUUUAAAGCAUUCGAAAAAAAAAAAAAAAGGAGAUAAUAUCGAUCGUCAAUUUAAGUAAUUUAACUUAUUUCACAACAAUGAAAUGAAUCUGUUACAGUAAAUAUUACGCUUAUUACAGUCAUUUGUAUGCGCAUACAAUUUGCAAAAAUAAAUAUUCAUAAGUGAUAAAAUUUUUACUGAUAGAUCAUAUGACGUAUAAAAAUAUGUAAUGUAGAAUAAUUGGAAUAUGGAUGUUUAUACAAAAACAUUCGUUUAUUUCAUAUAUUUUUGAGCACAACUGAAGGAAUAAAAAUUUGUUUCAAAAUAUAUUUGUCGUUAAAAUAUUAUAAAUAUAUUAUUAAUAAUUAAUUAAAAUAUUUGAUAUUUGGAUAUCUUGUAUAUAUUUUAAUACAUAUAUAUUCUGUACAUUUUUGCACAUUUAAAUUUCUAAAUAAAUGCAUAAACAUCCACAAAAUAAUGGUAAUAUUAAUAAUGUAAAUGUAUCCGUAAAUAAUGAAAUUAAAAAGUUAUGUACAUGAAUGAAUGCAUUAUCUAAUAAAUGAAUACAUUUACAAGCGAUAAUAAAGGUUUUUAUAAUUAAUUUUACAUAAAUACAUACAUUGACUAGUGAGUAAGUGUAUGUAUUUAUUAUGUUAUAAUCGAUAAAAUAUUUUUUAAUUAUAAUCAAAAAAUAAUUAAAAAAUUUCAAUAUUCCGAUAUUAUAGAAUGAAUAAAAAAUAUUUGAACAAAAAAAAAAAAAAGAAUUUAUCUCUCGAGCGAUUACCGUCAAACCACGGACAACGAAACAAAGAACCAAAAAAAUCGAUUUUUCGUGACUGAAAAGAAGAAUAACGUAGAUCUAUAGAGAUUUCAAAUAAUAAAAACACUAUGAAUCAAUAAAAGAACUACGACAGACUUUUUCAAUUUACAAAUAACGAUCUACAUUUUUAUUCUUUAUAUAUAUAUAUAAAAAAAAAGAAGCAAAAAAAGAAAGAAAAAAAGAAUCGUGUCUCAGAAAAAAAAUAAAAUUUUUAUAGAUCAAAUGAUCGAUAAGUUCUUAAAUAUUUCGAAUUUAAUAAAAUAAAUUUUUAAAACGAAGCAAUUUCUUAAUUAAAUUAUUAGAUUAAAUGAUUAAAAUGCACGAAUUAAAAAAAAAAAAAAAAAGAAAAAAAAAAA